rnacentral:misc_RNA from 1 species
AAAGUCGUAACAAGGUUUCCGUAGGUGAACCUGCGGAAGGAUCAUUAACACGUAUCCCAACGUAUUAACACUUUUGGCGAACCCUGGCCCUUUGUGCGUCGAGGAGAGAAGCUCUUUACCGAGAUUUUCUCUGCCACUGGCCUAAACAGCCGGUUGUAAACUACCUCAGGCCCGAGAGCUUGUUGUUUUUUUCGCAAAAACAGCUUGCCGCUUGGUGGCUCUCACGAGCCCGCUCGGCUUCGGCUGCACAGCUUUUUUACAAUUAACGAACCCCAAUCCAAAAAAUUGUUUGACUGAAAAACUUGCCUAGUUUUUUGUGGCUUUGCUGCAAAAAUCUAGGUAAAAGCGAUUAACGACAAACAACUUUUAGCAAUGGAUAUCUUGGUUCUC